rnacentral:rRNA from 1 species
AUGGAAUCUUACCGGAUGGAAAAACGCCCACAAGCAAAACAUGCACGAUUUCAUCAUGAAGGAAUUAAAUCUAGCUUGCUUCGUCGUCUUGCUGGUAGUACUACAUAUGCUUGUGGGCCGGUGCCAAAAGAGGUUGCAGGUUCGCGCUUAUCCGCGGGUCAGGUUGACAUUCUAGGGUACAAAAUAAAGGCCAUAGAGCACACUCACUUGAUCAGUGUAUUCAGCAAGAUACUCCUAGAGUCCCAAUACGCUGGACUACAGGAGAAGUGCCAACCAUUGGUACCACAAGACAAUGGGUACGAUAACAAGCAAGAAUCGGCUGUGAAGCAAGCAACAACAUGGUGGAGAAACGAGCUCCUGGAUUUUCUGGCCAAGCACAUCAACUAA